GGCCUUUUGUAAAUAGGUUGUGUGCAAAUUGAAGUAGGUUGGAAAAUCUAUUGGUUGUGCACAUUUCAAAAACUCUUUGUGAAAUAAAGUGUUGGACUCAGACUUCAAAGUGGCCACCAGUCUGGAGCAAAGUAUAUUGAGAAGUAAAAUGGUUUGUUUCUUCAACUGCUCAUCUCCUUUCGACAUUUGUUCCCUUGGAGGAUGCCAGUGCCCCAGGACCUGGUGCUGGAGAUAAUGGCAGCUGGAGCUCACCAGCUUCUUGGACUCACAAAGGUGUGAGCCGCAUGACUUCUCAGGUACUGACCACAUCCAGAAGGAAUUGAAAAUGAUGCAGAUCCUCAUUGCUCUGGGCCUGGUUUGCUGCCUGUCAUUCCUCAGGAGUUCCCUGGUCUACGGAGCCCAAGCUGUGCCAUUUAUAUCAGAGUGGUCCGUAAAUUCCAAGUUUCAAACCGUGCUUCAAUUCCUAGCUGCAUCCGAAUCACAUAAAUUCUGAACCCUCUUCUAGACCUACUAUGUUCAAAUUUGGGUGGGUCAAACUGCAUCAUUUCAAUAACCACAGGAUACGUCUAAAGGAAAAAAAAAUGACAGUGACUCUGCUCACAUGGUAAAACCCCUGACUUCCAACCCGUCUUGAGUAUUCUACUUGGACAACCAGUCGCAAUUUUCAAAGGAUCUGACAUAUAUAACUUACCUUCCUGGAAAGAGUUAAAAAUCCCUGUCAUAAUUUAUGGCAAUAGAAUACGCAAAUUCAACAUAAUAUUUUCGGUGCUACUCAGAGAAUUACAUUAAAAGAGCUACAUUUAGGGCCACCUGGGUGGCUCAGUGGGUUGAGUGGGUUUUUUUUUUUUAAUCGCUAUUUCCAUCAACAAUGUGUCAGAGCACUUGAUCUGUUGUGUGUUAUUCUUUGACCUCUCGUAUGUUGCAAAUAUUUUUCGACCUUACCAUUUGUUUUACGUUUGUUUAUAGAGGAUUUGGGGAGAUGUUUUACUUUUUAAUGUAGUCAGAUUCUUCAGUUAUCUCUUUGUAAUGUCUUUGUUUUGACUCUUAGAAAGAUGAUCCCCACUGAGGACUCAUAUUAAAAUGUACCUAUUUUUGUAGUCAUUUCUGUUCUUUGUUUUAAAGUUUAUUUAUUUUGAGAGAGACAGCCAAGUAGGGGAUGGGCAGAGGGAGAGAGAGAGAAUCCCAAGCAGGCUCUGUGCUGGCAGCACAGAGCCCAAAGCGGGGCUCGAACCCACAAAGCCGUGAGAUCAUGACCUGAGCCGAUACCAAGAAGGGUUGCCUAAUGACUGGGGCCCCAAGGCGCCCCUGUAGUCACUUCUUAUAUUCACUCUCCCCUAGCUGGAAUUUAUCUGAGCACAUAGCAGGAAGUUAAAAUUCAACAUGAGCUUUCCCUUAAAAUGGUAAGCAAUUCUUCUAGCAUAAUUUAUUGUAUAAUUCUUCCUUUGCCACUUACUUUUGGUGCUAAUUUUAUACACACACACUCAUAGUAAGGUCUUUUUUUUUUAAUGUUUAUUUUUUGAGACAGAGACAGGGCAUGAGCAGGGGAGGGGCAGAGAGAGGGAGACACAGGAUGUGAAGCAGGCUCACAGCUGUCAGCACAGAGCCCGAUGCAGGGCCUGAACUCACAAAUUGAGAGAUCGUGACCCGAGCCGAAGUCGGACGCUCAACUGAUGGAGCCCCCCAGGCACCCCAGUAAGGUCUUAUUCUUGUCCAUAUUUUGUUUCAUUGAUCUAUUAUACCGGAACUAUAUUAUUUUAAUUAUUGCAAAUUUUGAUUUAUUUUUUAAGAUUUUAUUUUAGUUUAUUAAAAUGAUUUUUCAUGUCUAUUUUUGAGAGAGACUUCAGCUCAGAUCAUGAUCUCAUGGUUGAUGACUUUGAACCCCACAUCAGGCUUUGUGCUGUCAGAGCAGAACCUGUUUUGGAUUGUCUGUCCCCCCACCUCUCUCUCAAAAAAUAAAUAAAUAAACUUAAAAAAAGUUACAUGUAAAGAGAUUCAGUUGAUUAAUUUUUGUUUCUAAUCCUCAUGAAAGCAUUACUUAGGAGAUUAUAUAAGCAUCAAUAGAAUGGCAAAACCUGGACUUAACUUUUUACCCAAACAGAAGAAUUUCAUGAUAAUUUACUUCCUUUAUUUAUUUAAAGUAGACUUACUACUUUACUUCUAGAUUUCUUUUUUCUUUACCCUGCAUGAUCACAAAGUACAAAAGGUCUCACUCGAUAGUAGUUUUGAUAACAGUAAAUAUAGGAGAGAUCAUGCUGUUUUAAUAAUCCUUACCCAAAUCUCAGGAACUUAGUACAGCAAAGGUUUUUUUUAUUGCUUAUAAAAAGCCUACUGUGUGUCUAGUCUGUUCUACAGGGCCAUUAUUGUUUAUAUUUUCAGCAUCUCAGCAUCAGGCUGAUAAAGUCUUCAACAUUUUUGUACUUGCACCAUUUAUAAGAUACAGCCUCUUUGGUGAGGUGAGAUAAGAGACUGGAGGGUCUCAUAUUAGAAAUUAAACAUUCUCUUUCAUUAGUGACAUAGUUCUUGUAGAAAUUGGGCUCCUGAUAGCCAUUAAGUCUUUAAAAAUGAAUACAUUUUUUAAAAAAACUAUGAUUACCACUUUUAGCAAAUAAAAUACUGCAUGCUUCAUAGCUAUAGUAAAAAAAUCUGUUAUUUUUCUAAGAGUCAAAUUUAGAUGGCAUUCUCUAUUUUAUCUGUGUUUACCACAAACAGUUCAAUAAUAGAAUGCAGAUGGCUUUUGUUUUUUGUUUCCUAAUUGUAAUAAUAUAGGAGGUAAGAAAACACAGCAUAUCUGCUAUGAUCUCUUCCUCUAACAUGAACUCUUCUAAAUAGAAUUUGCAUUUAGAUUUUUAAAACCAAAGGCAAUGAAUUAUAUUGCUUUGAUAAUUUUUCAACCACCUUAGACACCAAGAACCCAAGAGUGGUGUAGUUUGUGGAUUAAAUGCUUGCUUUCAACAAUGUGAUUUCAGAAAAAAAUCCUAAAUUCCAAUAAAGGACGUUUCCAUAUUAACAAGUGAAAUUCCCAUAUUUUUUUUAUGAGCUAUAACAGUGGUAAGUAAAACACAAGAACAAUCAGGUAAUUAUUCAGGUUGUAAAAAUGUUUUUUUUUUCAGGCAGAAUUGGUUCUAUUUCAUAAAAACUUCAGUAACCUGAAAGAGAAAAUAUGUAUUCUUUUUUUAAGUAUUUACCAGGCAGUGACUCAAGCUUUAUAAAGAAUUUGACUCAUGAAUCAAAAGGACAGAGUCAAGGCUGAUAGAUUAACAAGAUUCAAAGGAAAAGUAUAUGUCAGAUUACUGUGAAGUGGUUCAGUUAUUUUCUUUUACAUGAACACACACACACACACAUAUAUAUAUAUAUAUAUAUAUAUAUAUAUAUAUUUCUUAUAUCCUGAAUGAGAGUCAGUGAUUAAACACACAUAAAAAGAGUAUAGAGAUAUAUUCCAGUUGAUUAUUCUGGAUUGAUUAUUCCAGUUGAUUAUUCACAAUCACAUCUUUUUUUUAACUUUUUAAAUGUUUAUUUAUUUUGAGUGGCGGAGGGGCAGAGAGAGAGGGAGACAGAGGAUCUGAAGUGGGCUCUGAACUGACAGCUGAGAGCCCAAGGCAAGCCUCGAACUCACAAGCCCUGAUAUCACAGAACUGUGAGAUCAUGACCUGAGCUGACGUUGGACACUUAACUGGCUGAGCCACCCAGGUGCCCCUGUCACAAUCACAUCUUGAUGAAGAACAUAUUUUCCCACACAAACCAAUAGUCUCAUCACCACCAUCAGCCAAAUGUAUAGAUCAAUGAGCCUGAGAGCAGAACAAACUAAAAUGAGGUGUUCACCUGAUCCACUAUAGGUGCUAUUAUUUCAUGAUGAGAUGAAUGUAGAAAUUAAGAGCAAAUGUUUAGAAACUUUUAAAGAAUCUUUAAUAACCAAUUAACUGAGGGACGCCUGGAUGGUUCAGUUGGUUAAGCAUCCAACUUCGGCUCAGGUCAUGAUCUCACAGUUCAUGGGUUCCAGCCCCAUGUCAGACUCUCUUCUGACAGCUCAGAGCCUGCAGCCUGCUUCGGAUUCUGUGUCUCCCUCUCUCUCUGCCCCUCCCCCUCUUGCACUCUCUCUUUCUCUCGCUCAAAUAUAAAUAAGCAUUGAUUGUUUUUAAAUAACCAGGUAACUGAAUAGUUCAUUCAAUGUUAUUACGUUUAAUGUUUUAAAAGUGAAUCUUAUGGGUUUUUUUAUGUUUUUUUUUAUAAUUUUAUUUUCUGAUGAAAUGAAAUUAGGUCCUGAUGAAUUGGACACAAAGAAAAAUAAUGAAGUUUUAGCAAGUUUCAUUCACUACAUAUUUUGAGAAUUACUGCCCUAUGAUAUGUUUUUAGACAAUGUCUUAUAGAUAUCUGUUGGGUGCACGAAUGUAAAAUGAUUCUUAAAAAAUAAAUGCUUAAUAUGGUAUGAUUUAACAACAGUAAUUUUAGUGAAGAGCCAUAAUUUAAGUUUAUAGAUGUAACAGGAGUGGUGAUAAAAAUGGUACAUUAAAUUUUUCUGGAAUAAAGGUUUUGCAGUACAAUUAAAUUUGAUGAUUAAAAAAUAAAAAUGCAAAGCAAUUAUUAGUCAUUAAUUAUGAAAGUAAAGCAUAUCAAAAUAUGUGAAAUGCUUUAAAAAAGUGUGUGAAAUGUGGCCAAAAUAGUUCU